GACGAACGCUGGCGGCGUGCUUAACACAUGCAAGUCGAACGAUAUCCGCAUCCUUGAUUUCUUCGGAUUGAGAGGAACGGUGAAAGUGGCGAACGGGCGAGUAACGCGUGGGCAAUCUGCCCUUUACAGGGGGACAACAUCGGGAAACCGAUGCUAAUACCGCAUAAACCGGCAAUAUCGCAUGGUAUAACCGGCAAAGGAGAAAUCCGGUAAAGGAAGAGCCCGCGUCCAAUUAGCUAGUUGGUGAGGUAACGGCCCACCAAGGCCGCGAUUGGUAGCCGAGCUGAGAGGCUGAUCGGCCGCAUUGGGACUGAGACACGGCCCAGACUCCUACGGGAGGCAGCAGUGGGGGAUAUUGCGCAAUGGGGGAAACCCUGACGCAGCAACGCCGCGUGAAGGAUGAA
rnacentral:rRNA from 1 species